UACGGGGGGAGCAAGCGUUGUUCGGAUUCAUUGGGCGUAAAGGGUGCGUAGGCGGCGCGGUAAGUCAGGGGUGAAAUCCUGGAGCUCAACUCCAGAACUGCCUUUGGUACUGAGGAUCUUGAGUUCGGGAGAGGUGAGUGGAACUGCGAGUGUAGAGGUGAAAUUCGUAGAUAUUCGGAAGAACACCAGUGGCGAAGGCGGCUCACUGGCCCGGUACUGACGCUGAGGUGCGAAAGCGUGGGGAGCAAACAGG
rnacentral:rRNA from 1 species